GCUUAUCACCAUUCCAGAUUGAAUAUAAGUCAAGCAAUCUCGGGCUUGGUUAGUACUUGGAUGGGUGACCGCUUGGGAAUACCAAGUGUGAUAAGCA
rfam:Ciona savignyi cont_33196, whole genome shotgun sequence.